rnacentral:rRNA from 1 species
GAUGAACGCUAGCGGCAGGCCUAAUACAUGCAAGUCGAACGGUGUCUUCGGACAUAGUGGCGCACGGGUGCGUAACACGUAUACAACCUACCUUACAUUGGGGGAUAGCCUUUCGAAAGGGAGAUUAAUACCGCAUAAGACAGUAGCUGGGCAUCCAGCAGCUGUUAAAGAUUUAUCGAUGUAAGCUGGGCAUGCGUCCAAUUAGCUAGUUGGUGAGGUAACGGCUCACCAAGGCAAUGAUUGGUAGGGGAACUGAGAGGUCAAUCCCCCACACUGGCACAGAGAAACGGGCCAGAAUCCUACGGGAGGAAGCAGUAGGGAAUAUUGUGCAAUGGACGCAAGUCUGACCCAGCGAUGCCGCGUGCAGGAUGAAGGCGUUAUGCGUUGUAAACUGCUUUUAUACAGGAAGAAACGACUCUUGCGAGAGGCAUUGACGGUACUGUAUGAAUAAGCACCGGCUAACUCCGUGCCAGCAGCCGCCGAGUAAUAC